GAUCCUGGCUCAGGAUGAACGCUGGCGGCGUGCCUAACACAUGCAAGUCGAACGAAGCACUUUUUUACGAUCCCUUCGGGGUGACGAAUUUGUGACUGAGUGGCGGACGGGUGAGUAACGCGUGGGAAACCUGCCUUGUACCGGGGGAUUGCAGUUGGAAACGACUGAUAAUACCGCAUAAGCGCACAGUAUCACAUGAUACAGUGUGAAAAACUCCGGUGGUACAAGAUGGUCCCGCGUCUGAUUAGCUUGUUGGCGGGGUAAUGGCCCACCAAGGCGACGAUCAGUAGCCGACCUGAGAGGGUGACCGGCCACAUUGGGACUGAGACACGGCCCAAACUCCUACGGGAGGCAGCAGUGGGGAAUAUUGCACAAUGGAGGAAACUCUGAUGCAGCGACGCCGCGUGAGCGAAGAAGUAUUUCGGUAUGUAAAGCUCUAUCAGCAGGGAAGACAAUGACGGUACCUGACUAAGAAGCACCGGCUAAAUACGUG
rnacentral:rRNA from 1 species